GGAGCCAAUACCCUCCCAAGGCGGAAUCCCCGACCCUGAAGCCGGAGAAGGCAGCUCUGGUGCAAAUGUAGCUAUGCUCUCCUUAUCUCCAUCCCUGAGAUUAUUGCAGAUUAGAAGGCGAAAAAACCCGCACUCGCGAUGAUAUGUUUUCCGAGCUCAUGAAGUCCUCCCACACUGAUAGGGCACAGCUUAAUGCAUGGAGCAUUCACUGGCAGAGGCUAGGAAAGCAUUAAGUGACCACGAAGAGCAGAGGCAGGAGGCGAUGCUGAGGCUAAUGGGGGAGCAAAUGGACAUGAUGAAGCAUCUGUUGGAGCUGCAGGAAAGCCAACAAGGGCACAGACCCCUGGUGCAUCCAUUGUAUAGCUGCCUGCCCUCCUCCCCAAGUUCCAUAUCCUCCUCACCCAGAUGCCCAAGAACACGAGGGGCAGGGGGAGGCUCCAGGCACCUAGCUACUCCACUCCAGAGAAUGGCCCAAGCAACAGAAGGCUGUCACUCAAACAGUUUUGAUUUGUAGUGUGGCUACAAUAAGUAAUUUGGCCUUGUCCUUGCCUCCUCCUGAACCCCACCUCACCACACCCGGGCU